rnacentral:rRNA from 1 species
GAUGAACGCUGGCGGCGUGCCUAAUACAUGCAAGUCGAGCGAACGGACGAGAAGCUUGCUUCUCUGAUGUUAGCGGCGGACGGGUGAGUAACACGUGGAUAACCUACCUAUAAGACUGGGAUAACUUCGGGAAACCGGAGCUAAUACCGGAUAAUAUUUUGAACCGCAUGGUUCAAAAGUGAAAGACGGUCUUGCUGUAACUUAUAGAUGGAUCCGCGCUGCAUUAGCUAGUUGGUAAGGUAACGGCUUACCAAGGCAACGAUGCAUAGCCGACCUGAGAGGGUGACCGGCCACACGGGAACUGAGACACGGUCCAGACUCCUACGGGAGGCAGCAGUAGGGAAUCUUCCGCAAUGGGCGAAAGCCUGACGGAGCAACGCCGCGUGAGUGAUGAAGGUCUUCGGAUCGUAAAACUCUGUUAUUAGGGAAGAACAUAUGUGUAAGUAACUGUGCACAUCUUGACGGUACCUAAUCAGAAAGCCACGGCUAACUACGUG